AUGAAGUGUCUUCGUGCGAGCGACGACGGCGACGGCGGCCGCUACCUCUCCGACUUCGCGGCCGAGGUCAGUGCCCUCGAGGCCUGCAGCGGCCACCCGUCCAUCGUGCAGCCGCGCGCCUCCGGCCACCUCGACGGCGAGGCCUUCCUCGCCAUGGAGUUUGUGGGGCCAACUCUCCGGUACGUCAUGAAGCAUGUCCGAUACGGGAGGAGGCACACCGAGCUGGAGGUUCGCCUGCUCAUGAGACAACUUUGCGCCGGCGUGAGGUGGAUGAAUCGCCUGGGCCUGAUGCACCGUGACCUCAAGCCGGACAACGUGCUCGUCGACAGCCAUGGGAACCUCAAGAUCUGCGACCUAGGGCUGUCGUGCAGCAUGGCUGAUGGGCCGCCCUACUCCAACCCCGUCGGGACACGGGGAUACCGCGCGCCAGAGCUCCUUCUUGGGUGCACGGAUUAUGACGAGCAUGUCGACUCGUGGGCUCUUGGCGUCAUGAUGGCUGAGCUCCUCGCCGGCAAGCACCCUUUCCAUGGGAGGUCAGAUACGGAGCACCUCAGCGAGAUCUUGGACCUUCUCGGCACAGCUGACAUCAAGGAGUGGUCAGGCUACGAUGGACGCCGUCUACCCGGCGGAUGCCAACCAGGAAGCUUUCUGCGGAAUAAGUUCCCUUGUCAGGAUAAGGCCAGGAUCAAAGGCCCGCCGACAUUGUCAGAGGCUGGUUUUGAGGUCUUGAGCGGUCUUCUACGAUGCGACCCGGAGAAGAGGCUCACGGCGGAGCAAGCGCUCAAGCAUCGGUGGUUCAAGGAGGCCAACCCUAGGGCUACAAGGAGUUGA
rnacentral:rRNA from 1 species